rnacentral:rRNA from 1 species
AUUGAACGCUGGCGGCAAGCCUAACACAUGCAAGUCGAACGAGUGGCGGACGGGUGAGUAAUGUCUGGGAAACUGCCUGAUGGAGGGGGAUAACUACUGGAAACGGUAACUAAUACCGCAUACCAUCGGAUGUGCCCAGAUGGGAUUAGCUAGUAGGUGGGGUAAAGGCUCACCUAGGCGACGAUCCCUAGCUGGUCUGAGAGGAUGACCAGCCACACUGGGACUGAGACACGGUCCAGACUCCUACGGGAGGCAGCAGUGGGGAAAAUGGCACAAUGGGGGCAAGCCUGAUGCAGCCAUGCCGCGUGUAUGAAGAAGGCCUUCGGGUUGUAAAGUACUUUCCGCGGGGAGGCGUUACCCGCAGAAGAAUCCCCGGCUAACUCCGUGCCCGCAGCCGCCGUAAUUCC